CCUGCCCUUAAUACGCUUAGGCUGUGGAUAAAUACGUUUAAAUGCCAAGGGGAAAAACUAAGGAGAAGAUGAAAAUCUGUUGAGAGAAGAUACAGAACUCAUGAUAGGAGGUGAAAUGAAAGUGGCCAGAAUCCGGAGCCAAGGUGGAGGAUUUCACUUAGGGAGAGAAGGCACAGUAUUUCUGAGUUGGAUGAGACAAUAAGAACUAGAAGAGGAUCUAAGCCUUACUUAGCAUCGUUUUUUUCAAAUGGACAGUUCAGCCCCUGAGCUCAGCUUCUUGUCCCCGCUGACUUGUGCACGGAAUGGAGAAGCCAACAUCACAGAGUUCCCUUAAUGAACACUGAAGUCACUAGAGACUCCAUCAUUUAAAGUACCACUCAGUAAUUGACUAUCGGAAGAAAAAAAUUGUACCCAGACGGUAGGAACAGGAUUCAUAAAUGGAUGGUCUGUGCUUCCCUGCUAACCAGCCCUCUGUCCCUCAAGACAUUUAUGAUCUGUUCCAACAACUGAAAAAUGGGGAGUUAGAGUACACAAUAUAUGAAAGCUUAUAUUCCUCCUGCCAUAAAUGUCUACUUUAGAACCAAGAUCUGAAGAGAAUAAUCAUCUUUACCUCUACUCUGCUUGCGUCUACCUUGGCCCUACAUUGAGCAAAUUCCAUCGAUAACAGUUGCUUUGACGGAAGACUGUAGAGGUUAUAAGCCAGUGAGUAGAGAAGCCCUUUGAGGAACUGUAAUUAAUGAGGGAAGCCAAACACAGACAGAUAUGCUAUGUCCCGGCAAGGGAAGUAUCCAAUGGCCAGCCUUCAGAGUACAGUCAGUGUGAUGUUUUGCCUGGAGACUGCUGUUAUCCCAAAUGAGAAGGAAUGUGUGGUACUAUUAGAAAUGAAUACAUCAAGCUAUAGUCAAACACCAGGAGAUAAAUGGGGAUGGAAAUGCAUUUCUCUCAAAUGAACAUACAUUUCUCCAGAAAAAAGGUUACCAGAUUACUCACUUCAUUGAACGUAAUUAUUUUAUACGUUAAGAAAGCAUAAUUAUUUUAUGGUUUAAUAUGAUCUUAAAGAUAAUAUAGCUCAACUCCUGUUGUCUCGUUUCCCUUUCUUGUACUCACAUUAUACAUGGAUAUUGAGGAUGGAUGAAAUUAUGUGUAUUAAAGGUCAUGCUAUUAUUAUUGACAAGGAGACAACCAAAAUAUCUGACCUGCAAUUUGUGUGUUUUUGCCCACUACACCAUUCUAUUUCUUCCCAAAUUUGGGGUUUUUAAAUGGCAGUGACUUAUGGUGAAUCCAAGUCUUCUAAGCCAAAUUUUCCAUUAGUUCCUUUUAAUCUGUGCAUGAGUAAUAUGACCAGCAAAUCUGGUUGAGAUAAGGGGCAUUCACAAAGUUCAAGGGACAUGUUCAAGACUGUGUAUAUACUUAGCAUAAGAGCCAGGAUCAUAAAUCAAACGUAAGACUCUAUAGUCAGUACAUCUUUCACUAUAUCUCACAGCUUUUGGUCUAAACGUGCAUUCAAGCCAGAGCAUAUUACCAUGCUGGGGGAAAGGCGAGGGUAGUUAUGGCCAAAAUAUGUAAAUGAGCACCUGCUGAAGACCACCAGAGCCAUCUGCUGCUUGGAUUCUCAUACUCAUUUGCCGAUCUCUUAAUGCUCGCUUUCUCUCUCAGUUUUUCAGGAUGUGAAGGGAGGGCCACAUUCUGUACAGAUUUUAAGGCAUUAGCAAUCAUUGAGAUUACCUCAUAAUGAGCUUGUUGAAGAAGGACCCGCUUGAUUUAGUGUAGUAGGGUCAGUCCCAAACUGCUUGAAGACUCUGUGGGUCAUUCUUAGAAAGCAGCUUAUAAGAAUACUUGAAGUUGGCCUUAUGGAUUCUCAGUCAUUCAUUCCAGUAUUCAUUUCAACAUUGGCCAUAAUUCUUGAUUUAUGAUUCUAGGAAACUUUACAAUCUAAAUUUUCAAUUCAAAUCAGUGUACUCACUAAAUACUUCUCCUAGUCUUAUCAGCACCUCUGAAAAAGUCCUUUAGAAGAUCAUUCACUUGAUUAUUAACAUUAUAAAAAUAAAGCAGAGUCAGAUGGAAAACUGGAAAUCCACAGAAAAGAAAAAAAAAACAGAAAAAAGAAUAAAAGACACAAGUAAUAACACAGACAUGACUGUUCAGUUUAGGUGUAUAUUUUUCAUUAUGAGUGUAUGUAUAAUUUAUAUGUAAAUUUUAAAAUAUAAGUAAUAUCAAUGUUAUUUACAUAUAUUCAAAACAUAGUUAGUUACAUCAUCUCUGGUGUACGAAUUUUACCAUUUAGCAAUAUGCCAUUAAAAAUGUAUCCUGGGGGUUGGGAGAAGGGGGGUGGGGUUAUGGACA